GUGAAUCAUCAAAUUUUUGAACGCAAAUUGCGCUUCCUGGCAUCCCGGGAAGUAUGCCUGUUUGAGGGUCAGUAUUAAUAAAAAAUCGGUUUAGUUACAAAUUGUGACGUUUCCGGAGUUUGGGCUAUCUUAACAUUUUUGGUUAAGAGGCUUAAAAUUGACCUUUUUUCGCCUUUUUUAAAGUACCUUAAUUUUUUUUUUUUGUUUUAUCUUUAUGCCAAAAUCUUUUUAGAUUCGAUC
rnacentral:misc_RNA from 1 species